rnacentral:rRNA from 1 species
GUGUCAGCCGCCGCGGUAAUACGGAGGUUGCAAGCGUUAUCCGGAUUUAUUGGGUUUAAAGGGUGCGUAGGCGGGCUUAUAAGUCAGCGGUGAAAGACUGUCGCUUAACGAUAGCAUUGCCGUUGAUACUGUAGGCCUUGAGUACAUUUGAGGUGGGCGGAAUGUGUAGUGUAGCGGUGAAAUGCUUAGAUAUUACACAGAACACCAAUUGCGAAGGCAGCUCACUAAACUGUAACUGACGCUGAGGCACGAAAGCGUGGGGAUCAAACAGGAUUAGAUACCCUUGUAGUCC